rnacentral:lncRNA from 1 species
GGAAGCAAUGCAAUGAAUGUUCUAGUUUGUCUCAGAGAUUGGAUUAGAGCGGAAAGAAGAAAUCAAGGAAUGGAACCGGAGCCGAACGACGAGCUGAAACAUGAAGAAAUUUUGUUUUCACAGGAGAACUCAACAGAAUCAAGUCCAAUGCAUGGUUUUGCCCCCAUUGACUUCGACUAUUCUAUGCAAGUUCCCGUUAAUAUUAACAUGAAUAAGUUGGAAAAAAU